AAAUUGAAGAGUUUGAUCAUGGCUCAGAUUGAACGCUGGCGGCAGGCCUAACACAUGCAAGUCGAACGGUAACAGGAAGCAGCUUGCUGCUUCGCUGACGAGUGGCGGACGGGUGAGUAAUGUCUGGGAAACUGCCUGAUGGAGGGGGAUAACUACUGGAAACGGUGGCUAAUACCGCAUAACGUCGCAAGACCAAAGAGGGGGACCUUCGGGCCUCUUGCCAUCAGAUGUGCCCAGAUGGGAUUAGCUUGUUGGUGAGGUAACGGCUCACCAAGGCGACGAUCCCUAGCUGGUCUGAGAGGAUGACCAGCCACACUGGAACUGAGACACGGUCCAGACUCCUACGGGAGGCAGCAGUGGGGAAUA
rnacentral:rRNA from 3 species